CUUAGUGGCAAUCUCCCCCGCAGGUGACUAGCUA
rnacentral:rRNA from 1 species